UCGCCUUGGCAGAAAACAAUAAUUCCAGAGUGAUGCGUUAGCAGUUACCAGAUUGCGUGAACAGUAAAGGAGUAUUGUUCAUCUAUUUAUAGGCACAGGACGCAGCCUGUAAGAAAUUAUAAUCAUGCCCCUUACAGAAGAUUACAAUUAUGACUCAGACCCUUAUGGGACUAAAAAGUCAUUCCAUCUUUAUGUCGGUUCAAUCCUUCGUCUUUGGAUACGUUAUAGUAUCGAAGCUUCAUGAGCGGUAGCUUCGGUAUCACGUCUAAACAGAUUUGUCGAAGGUGUUUGUUUCUGCAGGACCUUCGGCGACGAAGCAUGGUCCCAACAAGCACUGUGUGAUGAUGUCCAUGUUAUGUAACUGCUGUGUACGUGAAUUGCUGAUCCUGGCACGUACAUGGUUCGCAUUCGGUUUGCCUUCUAAAAACCGGGUGUGACACAUAUAGACAGGAAUAUCACAAACCUAAAUAGUGCUACGCGAUAGCGAAUUAAACACCUAGCGGCGAGGCGUUGUAGAAUUUUAUACGGAAACACUAGUUACUGAUAUACGACUAUGCCCAAUUAUCACACUUUUCUAGCGUGAUCGCAUCUACUUCAAAAAUCAAGUGAUAAUAAACUAAACACAAGUCCUAUAUCAAAACAUGCAUCGAGGCACCAUUCACAUCACCUACCAAUUGACGAUCAUUAUACAAUGUGAUUAAUUCACCAUUGAACGCAAGUAAUCACAAGCAUCAGAUCAAUUCGAUUACACUAGACAUAUGUUUCCAUUUUGUAAAUUAAGAUAUAUAAGAUACAUGUCGACGAUGCUAACCACAAUCGACCAUAAUCAUACUUAAAACUAACUUAACUAGUUUUCUAAACUAUUUUCC
rnacentral:lncRNA from 1 species